rnacentral:rRNA from 1 species
AGAGUUUGAUCAUGGCUCAGAAUGAACGUUGGCGGCGUGGAUUAGGCAUGCAAGUCGCGCGAGAACCCGCAAGGGGGACAGCGGCGAAAGGGACAGUAAUGUGUAGAUUAUCUGCCCUCAGGUCCGGGAUAGCUGCGGGAAACUGCAGGUAAUACCGGAUAACAUCUCCGGAUCAAAGGUGUGAUUCCGCCUGAGGAUGAGUCUACAUCCUAUUAGCUAGUUGGUAGGGUAAUGGCCCACCAAGGCUUUGAUGGGUAGCGGGUGUGAGAGCACGACCCGCGUCAUUGGGACUGAGACACUGCCCAGACACCUACGGGUGGCUGCAGUCGAGAAUCUUCGGCAAUGGGCGCAAGCCUGACCGAGCGACGCCGCGUGUGGGAUGAAGGCCUUCGGGUUGUAAACCACUGUCAGAGGGGAUGAAAUGCGGGUGGGUUCUCCCAUUCGUUUGACAUAGCCUCAGAGGAAGGACGGGCUAAGUUCGUGCCAGCAGCCGCGGUAAGACGAACCGUCCAAACGUUAUUCGGAAUCACUGGGCUUAAAGGGUGCGUAGGCGGCGCGGAAAGUUGGGUGUGAAAUCCCUCGGCUCAACCGAGGAACUGCGCCCAAAACUACCGUGCUCGAGGGAGAUAGAGGUGAGCGGAACUUAGGGUGGAGCGGUGAAAUGCGUUGAUAUCCUAAGGAACACCGGUGGCGAAAGCGGCUCACUGGAUCUCUUCUGACGCUGAGGCACGAAAGCUAGGGUAGCAAACGGGAUUAGAUACCCUAGUAGUCC